UUAACGGGUCCCGGUGGGGAUAAAAGAGUCUUCCAGUUUGAAUUUGCGCCUAGGCUUCAUUAUUUAAAAAAUAUUUUCAAUAUGUUUGUGUAUUUCUAUAUAGUAAGCUCUUAUUUACUGUACAGCCCAAAUUAUGCCAGUGGUUGGGUUCUGUGUUUCCAGAUUGCCUCCAGCUCUUAGGCUCUCCCCAGUACAAGGAAUUUUCAUUUUCAGUGUUCUAAAAAGUCUAAGCAAGCAUUUCCAAUGAAACUUUCUCCAUGAAUAUGAGUUUGUACAUUUCCACACUGUCAUGCAAUAACUGCUUACAACUUGUUGCAAGUGUUUGAAAAUCUUUCAUUUGACCUUUAUCCAUUAUUGAGAAAUGUAUUGUUAUACUUUUAAACGACCAGUUAGGGAAUCUAGUAUUUGUUUGAUUGGUGUUAAAAUCAGGGUCAUAGACACACCAUCUUAUAAUUCUCAGGUUAUUGUGUAGUUUAUGUUCUUAUUUUACUUCUGACCAGGUUUAUAAUUGGAGUUUUAUUCAAGGACUUUCAGUUUUGAAUUGAAUCUGUUCUAAAUCUUUAUUCCCCACCAUUACCUGCAGAGGAGGAUUCUGUAUAAGAGCUAAUUCAAUGUCCUUCCAUCGAACGUGGUUAUAGUUUUUAUUACAUCGGUUUAUCAGAGGUUUUAUUUGUGAAUAGGAGUAGUUCUUUACAUGCGGUAUGUUCACUUCCCCUAAUUCUUUUGAGAGUUGUAGUGUUUUAGAUCUAUUUGUAAGCUUUUUCAUAGCCAUAUAAAUCUGGAGAGCAUUGUAUCCAUCUCUAUAAAUUGCUUUUUUGUAAUUUUUACCAGUAGGGUUUGGAACAAGAGGAUAAAUAUUUGUAAUAUUUAUAUUUAAUAUUAAUAUUAAAUAAUUUAAUAUAUUUAAUAUUUAUAUUUAUUGGUAAUAUUUAUAAUAUAAUAUUAAUAUUUACAAUAUUCAUUUUGACAGAUUUAAUUUGUUAGGUUAAGCUCAUGAAGAGGGUGACAUGAGCUCAACCCAUGGUUGUAUAUCCAAUCUUAUUUAAGUCAGGAGAUCCUCAUGAUUACACUUAGCUCUAGUGGUUGCAUCUUUGGGCAUUAGAACACCGAGGUAUUUCUAUACGGUCUGGUCCCAUUUAGGUUUUAGUUCAGCACACAAAAUUUUUGAGGUUUAUAAUCAAAUGUCAAUGUCUGCGUUUUAUUCACAUUUAAUUUAUGUCCUGUAUUGUCACCAAAGUUGCUCAAGCUCAGAAAUAACAUAGGCAGUGAUGUGUUUGGUUCACUUAUAACAGCACAUCAUCUGUAUUUAGCGCCACCUUGUGUACAUCACCUGAAAUGCUUAUACCUUUCAUGCUUUAAAACGUUUGCCUUAUUAGUUGACACUAAGAGGUUCCACUAUAUGCAUAAUUAUGAAUUGAAGAAAGUGUGGAUAGUGGAAAGUAUACACAGGAGUUGGGGUAACUAUUGUUAACUUCAACCUGCAGGUCUAACAGUCAAACCUAACAGCAGAGCUAAACAGGACAGUGGCUGAUUUUUACACCUUUGCCGAGGAAGAUAAGAUCAGUGGAUAAGAUCAGCUUCACAUUUAAUUAUUGGUCAAUCACUGAUCUUCAAAAGUGAAGGAAAUCGAUGCUGAUAGAUCGGCUGGUUGAUAAAUCAGUGCACCUCUAGUUAAGGCACCUCAGUCAUAGGACACUGUUAGAUACUUAACACAAAAAGAUACAAAAA